AACGAACGCUGGCGGCAGGCCUAACACAUGCAAGUCGAACGAGAAGCCCACCUUCGGGUGGUGGACAGUGGCAGACGGGUGAGUAACGCGUGGGAACGUGCCUUUCGGUUCGGGAUAACCCAGGGAAACUUGGGCUAAUACCGGAUACGCCCUCCGGGGGAAAGAUUCAUUGCCGAAAGAUCGGCCCGCGUCGGAUUAGCUAGUUGGUGGGGUAAAAGCCUACCAAGGCGACGAUCCGUAGCUGGUCUGAGAGGAUGACCAGCCACACUGGGACUGAGACACGGCCCAGACUCCUACGGGAGGCAGCAGGUGGGGAAUAUUGGACAAUGGGCGCAAGCCUGAUCCAGCCAUGCCGC
rnacentral:rRNA from 1 species